AUGGCGUUCUCCAAGCCCGCUGCACUCCUGCUGCUCGUUGCUCUGUCCGCGACCGCCAUGCUCGCCGCCGGCCAAGGCUGCGGCGGCCACAAGGUGACGGUGCAGAACCUAUGCGGGCAGGACCUGAAGCUGAGCCUGGAGGAAGUCGCGCACAGCGCGGCCCUCUUCCCCGACGGGUGGGUGCUCCCAGACGGGCAGCACGGGUCGUUCGACGUGUGCGCGUGGACGGGGGGCGUGCUCGCGCCCGGCGCGGCCGUGGCCAAGGUCCACCUGGGCCACGACGGCGGCGCGUACUACGAGGUGAGCACCCAGCAGCCGGGCCCCAUCCUUGUCUCCGUCACCCCGCACGGCAGCCCGCUGCGGGGGCACUGCCCCACGGCCGGGUGCAACGGCGGCGGCCACUGCUUCGAGCACUCCGUCCCCGACGGCGACUGCCACGGCGUCACCGAGGUGAAGAUCGUCUACUACAAGCCGUAG
rnacentral:rRNA from 1 species